rnacentral:rRNA from 1 species
UCGAGCGGAAACGAGUUAUCUGAACCUUCGGGGAACGAUAACGGCGUCGAGCGGCGGACGGGUGAGUAAUGCCUGGGAAAUUGCCCUGAUGUGGGGGAUAACUAUUGGAAACGAUAGCUAAUACCGCAUAAUGUCUACGGACCAAAGAGGGGGACCUUCGGGCCUCUCGCUUCAGGAUAUGCCCAGGUGGGAUUAGCUAGUUGGUGAGGUAAUGGCUCACCAAGGCGACGAUCCCUAGCUGGUCUGAGAGGAUGAUCAGCCACACUGGAACUGAGACACGGUCCAGACUCCUACGGGAGGCAGCAGUGGGGAAUAUUGCACAAUGGGCGCAAGCCUGAUGCAGCCAUGCCGCGUGUAUGAAGAAGGCCUUCGGGUUGUAAAGUACUUUCAGUCGUGAGGAAGGCAAUAUAGUUAAUAGCU